GUGCAUCUUUCUCCCGACCACCAUGGGAAUGGUCUGCCAGGUUCCAAUUUCUAAGAGUUUCAGAGGGUGAAGCUCCUAUUGUUUUUUUUUGUUGUUGUUGUUUUUGUUUUUUUUAAGGGAGCGUAUACAUUUCCUGCACUUCAAGAAGAAUCAAAAUGUUCCUGAAGUUCAAAUACCUCAUGCAAAAUGUCUCCUGAAAUAAGGGAAGAAAAAAAAAACACUUUGAAAAAUCUUAAUGUUGAAGUGAGCAAUGCCGAAAGGUUCUGUUUAAAAAAAAAAAAAAAAUCCUUGUACUUAUCACUUUUGCCCCUCAGGCGGUCAGUUCUGCUGAGAACUGUGUUCUGCGCCUCAGCGUGGAAGUGACCCCAGGUGCCACCUCUGAACGUAUCUCAAGGCGGCUUUACCUUCAGAUCCUGUAGAGUUAGGGUAACGUUUUUUCUUUGCAGCAAAGCUCCAUUUUGAUGAAAGAUGAAUCUGGAUAUUUAUUUCUGUUUUGGAAAACCGGAGAGGUUACAACCCAGAGAGCUGAAGGAGACUCCAACAGCAUCCAUG
rnacentral:lncRNA from 1 species